GACGAACGCUGGCGGCGUGCUUAACACAUGCAAGUCGAACGGAAAGGCCCUGCUUUUGUGGGGUGCUCGAGUGGCGAACGGGUGAGUAACACGUGAGUAACCUGCCCUUGACUUUGGGAUAACUUCAGGAAACUGGGGCUAAUACCGGAUAGGAGCUCCUGCUGCAUGGUGGGGGUUGGAAAGUUUCGGCGGCUGGGGAUGGACUCGCGGCUUAUCAGCUUGUUGGUGGGGUAGUGGCUUACCAAGGCUUUGACGGGUAGCCGGCCUGAGAGGGUGACCGGCCACAUUGGGACUGAGGUACGGCCCAGACUCCUACGGGAGGCAGCAGUGGGGAAUAUUGCACAAUGGGCGGAAGCCUGAUGCAGCAACGCCGCGUGCGGGAGGACGGCCUUCGGGUUGUAAACCGCUUUCGCCUGUGACGAAGCGUCAGUGACGGUAAUGGGUAAAGAAGCACCGGCUAACUACGUG
rnacentral:rRNA from 1 species